rnacentral:rRNA from 1 species
ACUCCUACGGGAGGCAGCAGUGGGGAAUAUUGCACAAUGGGCGCAAGCCUGAUGCAGCAACGCCGCGUGAGUGAUGAAGGCCUCGGUCGUAAAGCUCUGUCCUCAAGGAAGAAUAAAUAGACGGUACUUGAGGAGGAAGCCCGGCUAACUACGUGCCAGCAGCCGCGGUAAUACGUAGGGGGCGAAGCGUUAUCCGGAAUCACUGGCGUAAGGGUGCGUAGGCGGUUUUCUAAGUCAGAAGUGAAAGGCUAUGGCUCAACCAUAGUAAGCUUUUGAAACUGUUAAACUUGAGUUGCAGGAGAGGAAAGUGGAAUUCCUAGUGUAGAGGUGAAAUUCGUAGAUAUUAGGAGGAACACCAGUGGCGAAGGCGACUUUCUGGACUGUAACUGACGCUGAGGCACGAAAGCGUGGGGAGCGAACAGGAUUAGAU